GGGAAAUGCCUAUCAUGGUUUGAAACAAAAGAUACCAGUGGGCUAGGGGAAAUACUGUUCCUUCCUGUUAUCUUCUGGGAAAACAUUUCUUUUUCUUCCCAAGGCAGAGUCUCACGAUGGACCCCAGACUAGCCCUGGUCUGCCAGCCCCAGCCUUCAUUAACCCAUUAAAAAGAAAAACCUCCUGCCUUCCUGUUGUCCUGGGGAGACAAGCUGACAAAUGGCUUGUAGCAAGUCAAGGACCGCCUGGCAGAAGAUAUGGAGGAGGGAAGCUGAAGAGGUGCUGUCUUAGGGUUUUGCUGCUGUGAACAGACACCAUGACCAAGGCAAGUCUUAUAAAAAAC
rnacentral:lncRNA from 1 species